UUUCAAUUUCCGAUUCUUCGGUGAUUUGAUCAUAAAGGUUCUUGCUUGAAGACGCCAAAUUUGCUGAAAUCGAACGGGUAAGGCAAAGGGUUUCUGAUUUUUGUUCGAAUUUCUUUGGAGUUUUUUUUAUUGUAAUAGAACAGAGUUUUGUUCAGCGAUUUGUUCUUCGAAAUUGAAUAUGCCGGAUUUUUCGACUGAAUUGAUGUUCUUCUAAAUACAAAUCCGGCGCCCGAUAGGAUAAGGAUUUGAUAUAUUUCGCAUUUCUUUUGAAUAUUCAGAAGAGAUUGGGUCGAUAGGGUUGGUUUUUUCGAUUUCUACUCAGAAAAUUUAUAAAUUGUUCACUGAAACUUUUUNUUUUGUUGGUACUGUUCGGCGAUUUGUUCAUAAAGAUUCCUGCUUGAAUAAGCCAAAUCUGCUAAAAUCGAACAAGACAACGAGUUUAUGAGUUUUGUUCGAAUUUCUAUUGAGUUUUUUUGAUUGAAAUGGAGUAUGGGUUUUGAUUUUCGAUUUUGAUAGGUCUACGAAGAGAAUCUGGAAUUGUAUUUGAUGUCUGUUUCCUAAAAUUUCAGAUCUGGAAUUUGGGAAAAUUGGGAGAAUCCUCUUCAAUGAAUAAUUAGAUGUCAUUUAUGUUCAUUUAGAAAUUGUAUUCUGUUCAUUAAAAAUUAUACCUUGUUCAUUAAGAGGUUUGUCAUUUUGUGCAGACUUGGAGGAGGUGGGAUUCGUCGAUCGGGGUUUGAGGUUUUGGCGGCGGAAUCAACUCUAAUUUGUUGAAGAAAUUUGGAACGUAAAAUCUAGUCUUUGGCGGGGCCAAUCGACAAAAUGCAUAAUUCCCGAUCCGCCAUGAAAUUCGAGAAUCAGGAAUUACGACGAGACUCCGAGGAGAAAGAAACACACCUUAUCUUUCUAUUUUUCUAUUUUAUUUUAUAAAUUUGUUCAGCUCCAUUGUCUAGUCUUUGACCCUAAUCUACACUGUUAUUUUCUUUUCAUCAAAUUGAAUGAUCAAUUUAGAAUUUUUGGGAUAUUCAUGCGUCCAGUAAAUUUGAAUAUAUUUGUUCAUUUAGUAAUUGUGUUCUGUUCGUUUAUAAAUUGGGUUCUGUUCAUUUA
rnacentral:lncRNA from 1 species